rnacentral:rRNA from 1 species
UACGAAGGGGGCUAGCGUUGUUCGGAAUUACUGGGCGUAAAGCGCACGUAGGCGGAUUGUUAAGUCAGAGGUGAAAUCCCGGAGCUCAACUUCGGAACUGCCUUUGAUACUGGCAAUCUAGAGUCCGGAAGAGGUUAGUGGAAUUCCCAGUGUAGAGGUGAAAUUCGUAGAUAUUGGGAAGAACACCAGUGGCGAAGGCGGCUAACUGGUCCGGUACUGACGCUGAGGUGCGAAAGCGUGGGGGAGCAAAACAGG